ACCCCCCACGCCCUCUGUCUCUCUUUCAAAUAAAUAAAUCUUAAAAAAAAAAAAGGAAAUUGAGGAUCCCCAAUUUCCAUGAAGGUUGAAGUUCAUGGGUAAGUUAAAUAUGCAGCUGAUGGGACUCCAUGAUAUGGUGGUGAUAUUUUUUAAACUGUGCCAGGCCAGGGUGCAUGGUCUGAGAAGUGCAGCUGUAUCCAGUGAGGUGCUGGGAGGUCAUAUCUAAAAUUGGUGCUGUCCUAGGGAAUUCUCAAAGUGAUGGUUAACAUCAUGUAUGAUUUUCAGAGUGAGGGAUGUGGCGGUGACCGAAGUCCGAAAUCUUGAAUUGCCCAGAUAGGUAACACCUUUUAUUUAUCUCUCAAGAUGCAAUACAACACAAAUCAUUCAUUCGGCCUGGAAAAGAAAAAGAAAAAAAAAAACUGAGAACAAGGAAAUACUGAAGAUGCAUUUCAAUCCAUUGGUCAAAUCACUGAAGAGGAAGUGCACUUCAGAGGGCCGGCACAUUUUUAUAUGGAAACUCAAAGUAAAUGUGGUUCCAAGGAUAGAGAAACGGUCAUACACGUGUCAAGCCAGGAUGCAGCAUUUACACAGGGUCUGCUCCUACCAUCACUCACUGCAAAGAAUGCCUCCUGCUCGUCCUGUGGCCUCUAAUCCAGAGGAACCUCCAGGUCUUCCUACCUCUCUAUUCCGAGUGUCACCCACCAGAGCAUUCUACACCAAUGGAUCAACAAAGCGGCAGGAAUCAUUUUCUGGGUUGAUGUCUGGAUUAAACACAGAUCCUAUGCUAAGCAGAAAAAUAGACAUCAUAGAAAGAAAAGGAGGCUCCUUUCUUUAA
rnacentral:lncRNA from 1 species